UGGCGGACGGGUGAGUAAUGUCUGGGGAACUGCCUGGUGGAGGGGGAUAACUACUGGAAACGGUAGCUAAUACCGCAUAACGUCGCAAGACCAAAGAGGGGGACCUUCGGGCCUCUUGCCAUCGGAUGUGCCCAGAUGGGAUUAGCUAGUAGGUGGGGUAACGGCUCACCUAGGCGACGAUCCCUAGCUGGUCUGAGAGGAUGACCAGCCACACUGGAACUGAGACACGGUCCAG
rnacentral:rRNA from 1 species